CGGAACGGGUGAGUAAUGCGUGACCAACCUGCCCCAUGCUCCAGAGUAGCUCUUGGAAACGGGUGGUAAUGCUGGAUGCUCCAACUUGACGCAUGUCUUGUUGGGAAAGUGUUUAGUGGCAUGGGAUGGGGUCGCGUCCUAUCAGCUUGUAGGCGGGGUAAUGGCCCACCUAGGCUUCGACGGGUAGCCGGCCUGAGAGGGCGGACGGCCACAUUGGGACUGAGAUACGGCCCAGACUCCUACGGGAGGCAGCAGGU
rnacentral:rRNA from 1 species